rnacentral:rRNA from 1 species
CGCUGGCGGCGCGCCUACACAUGCAAGUCGAGCGAGGGCUUUUCUCCCGCAAGGGAGGGGAGUUCCUAGCGGCGAACGGGUGAGUAACACGUGGGCAACCUGUCGUCUCGUGGGGGAUAACACCGGGAAACCGGUGCUAAUACCGCAUGUCAUCACCGGUCGCAUGGCCGGUGAGAAAAGCAGCAAUGCGCGAGAUGGUGGGCCCGCGGCCUAUCAGCUAGUCGGUGGGGUAACGGCCUACCGAGGCUUUGACGGGUAGCUGGUCUGAGAGGACGACCAGCCACACGGGGACUGAGACACGGCCCCGACUCCUACGGGAGGCAGCAGUGAGGAAUCUUCCGCAAUGGGCGCAAGCCUGACGGAGCGACGCCGCGUGUGGGAUGAAGUCCUUCGGGAUGUAAACCACUGUCGGAGGGGAAGACCAAAGGACGGUACCCUCCAAGAAAGCCCCGGCUAACUACGUGCCAGCAGCCGCGGUAAUACGUAGGGGGCAAGCGUUACUCGGAUUCACUGGGCGUAAAGCGCGUGUAGGCGGCUGGUCAAGCGUGAUGUGAAAUCUCCGGGCUCAACCCGGAAACUGCAUCGCGAACUGGCC